GGGGAAAAUGGAUGAUGGGCAUUGAGGAGGCCACUUGUUGGGAAGAGAACUGGGUAUUGUAUGUAAGAGAAUAAUCAUGGGAAUCUAAUUCUGAAGCCAAGACUACACUGUAUAUACACUAUCUGUU